UACAUAGGGAGCAAGCGUUAUCCGGAAUGAUUGGGCGUAAAGCGUCUGUAGGUGGUUCAAAAAGUCUACUGUCAAAUACGUUGGCUCAACCAACGGCAGGCAUUAGAGUACUAUUGAACUAGAGUGUGGUAGAGGUAGAGGGAAUCCCUAGCGUAACAGUGAAAUGUGUAGAUUUUAGGGAGACACCAGCGGCGAAGGCGUCUACUGGGCCAUUACUGACACUGAGAGACGAAAGCUAAGGGAGCGAAAGGG
rnacentral:rRNA from 1 species